rnacentral:rRNA from 1 species
CCUACGGGUGGCAGCAGUGGGGAAUAUUGCGCAAUGGGCGAAAGCCUGACGCAGCGACGCCGCGUGAGGGAUGAAGGUCUUCGGAUCGUAAACCUCUGUCAGCAGGGAAGAACGGUCACUGUGCUAAUCAGCAGUGAAUUGACGGUACCUGCAAAGGAAGCACCGGCUAACUCCGUGCCAGCAGCCGCGGUAAUACGGAGGGUGCGAGCGUUCAUCGGAAUUACUGGGCGUAAAGCGCUCGUAGGCGGGAUGUCAAGUCCAGGGUGAAAUCCCCGUGCUCAACGUGGGAACUGCCUUUGAAACUGGCAAACUGGAGUGUGUGAGAGGAUAGUGGAAUUCCAGGUGUAGGAGUGAAAGCCGUAGAUAUCUGGAGGAACAUCAGUGGCGAAGGCGACUAUCUGGCACAUAACUGACGCUGAGGAGCGAAAGCGUGGGUAGCAAACAGGAUUAGAUACCCUGGUAGUC